rnacentral:misc_RNA from 1 species
UGGUUGCAGGCAUUUGUUGUAGCACUGGAAACAAAUUCUUUCACAAUAUUGCAACACAUUGCGAUAUGGGGAAAUCUUGUUGCUUUUUAUGUCAUCAAUUGGAUUGUCAGUGCCUUCCCAUCCUCCGGCCUGUAUACAAUAAUGUUCCGUUUAUGUAGACAGCCGUCAUACUGGAUUACUAUAUUUAUCAUUGUAGCAGCUGGCAUGGGUCCAGUGCUAGCUUUGAAGUACUUCAGGUACACCUACAGAUCUAGUAAAAUUAAUAUACUUCAGCAAGCCGAGCGUAUGGGAGGACCUAUAUUGUCCCUGGGUAAUAUAGAACCUCAACUGAGAUCUUUAGAUAAAGAUGUUGCACCUUUAUCAAUUUCUCAACCCAAGAACCGUACCUCAGUCUAUGAACCUCUGCUCUCAGAUUCUCCUAGUGCUACAAGACGUUCUUUUGGACCUGGGGCUCCAUUUGAUUUCUUUCAGCCUCAAGCCCGAUUAUCUUCAAAUUAUACGAGAAACUGCAAGGACAACUAAUAUUAACAGUUGACAUGUGGAAUUAUGCAUAUCACAUGUAGAAAAAGAUACUACACUGAGGACACUAACUGCUGAUGCGUUCUUUUCAACUGGCCAGCAUCUUAAUCUAUUUUCUAUGUUGCGCGGGUUAGUGUUGCAUCAAGCUGACAAUAUCAUGCUCAGGGGCCACUGUAUUUUGGAAGCUUAUGCUGUAAAAAUCAGGACGGAUUACUGUUCCCAGGGUAUGAAGAUGCAACAACCUAGCACGAUAUUGAUUCUUGUUUAUUGGAGGAAACAGUGAACAUUUCACAGAUUCUGACACCCCAUUUCAGGGUGAUAUUAAUUUACAUAAUCUACUCAAUCAGAGUGGAGUCAGAGAGAUAUAUCCAUCAUAAACAUCAUUUUCACAUAUUUGUUUCUUACGUGUUGAUGCUAUUGACUAGAUCUGUAAUAUAUUAAGGGCAGCGAUGGAUCGAAGUUCCUGUAUAUCGAUUGCAAUGAUGUUUAAAAAUGGGAUUGGAAAUGGUAAUGCUGA